rnacentral:rRNA from 1 species
GACGUAGGGCGCGAGCGUUGUCCGGAUUUAUUGGGCGUAAAGAGCUCGUAGGCGGCUUGUUGCGUCAGCUGUGAAAACCCGCAGCUCAACUGUGGGCUUGCAGCUGAUACGGGCAGGCUUGAGUUCGGUAGGGGAGACUGGAAUUCCUGGUGUGAGCGGUGAAAUGCGCAGAUAUCAGGAGGAACACCGAUGGCGAAGGCAGGUCUCUGGGCCACUACUGACGCUGAGAAGCGAAAGCGUGGGGAGCGAACAGG